AAAACGACUUAACAGAGAAACAAUGGUUUCGUUGAAAUUGGAAUCAUUCUUAGAUUGUCGACGGUUAAACAACACAUGUACUGUUUGUUGUCGUUAUCUAUUUAAGAAAUAAUUGAUGCAAGCUAUAUACUUUAUUUUAACAAAGGUAGGCAUUAUAUUUGUGAUUAUUUUUGUCCGAGCGAUUGUGAUAGCGAUAGCUACCCAUGUUAAAACUACAAUAAAGUAUAGCUUGCAUCAAUUAUUUCGAUUCCAAAUAGGACAAUUGAGGUAAUUUCUAUGUCCAUGAACCUCCCUUUUUGUUUGUAAAGAAGCAAACGGCUGGCACUGUGAUUUUUUUAGAGGGAGGAGUUUGAACAGCUGAGCCAGCGUGAACGGUUGUCGUAUCCAGGUCAAAUAUGUCAAUUUUGGAAUGCAACACAUUACAGUGUAAUAAAUGAAUUAAUAACAUCUUGUGCACCAUUUAAUAAUUUGAAAGUGUUUUAAAGUUAAGGAAAUAUAUUAA
rnacentral:lncRNA from 1 species